GCUACGGCGAGAGAGGGGGGGGGGAAAUAACGUAGGGGGGUAGCGGUAAGGGGAAGUACUGGUGGUAAGGCGUGCGCAGGCGGGUUUGUAAGACAGGUGUGAAAUCCCCGGGGUUAACCUGGGAACUGCAUUUGUGACUGCAAAGAUGGAGUGCGGCAGAGGGGGAUGGAAUGCCGCGUGUAGCAGUGAAAUGCGUAGAUAUGCGGAGGAACACCGAUGGCGAAGGCAAUCCCCUGGGCCUGCACUGACGCUCAUGCACGAAAGCGUGGGGAGCAAACAGGAUUAGAUACUCGUGUAGUC
rnacentral:rRNA from 1 species